UGGUAAUGAUGUAUGAACUCACGAUGGUCUGCAGAGCCCUCAGGUGAAUGGGGGGCUGCUGAAGGCGCCAAUCUGGCACUCACUGAACCAAAGAG